GUGGGCAUAGCUCAGUGGUAGAGCACAUGCUUAGUAUGCACAAGGUCCUGGGUUCAAUCCCUAGUACCUCCA
rnacentral:tRNA from 1 species